CAAACUUUUGGACACCUAUAAUUCACCUAGAAAUAAAAAUGUGGGUAAUGUCAAAAUUGCAAAAGUAGUUCCUUCACAAACAUAUCAAAUGAUAAUAUGAGAUAUUGGUGAUUUACUUUUCAAGCAUCUUCAAUCAUAUUAGACACACAACAACCUCUCGGAUGAAGCAUAUUCUCUAUCAGUUUGAAAAUCCUGAUAUUAAAAACAAAAUAAACUAAAAAAAAAAAGAAAUAAUUAUUAAAAAAAAAAAGAAAAUUAUAAUUUUAUAUACAGAAACACAACGACAAAGAACACACUUAGGGACAAUUUUACACUCUGUAUCUUGCAACUUGUUUCUCUUGUAAAAUGAAGAAGAAAUGAAGGAAGAAAGAAAUUAUUAUCCUCUCAUACCAUAGAUGCAAAUGAAGCAGCUAUCAAAAGUAGGAAAAGAGGUUAUAUUUGUACACCGGAAAUGUAUUGUGAGUUACAUGCUUGAACUGAAGAGAUGGAAGUCCUUCACGUAUUUGCAAUUUGUUGCUAGAAGAUAUGAAUUUCUAGGACAUGAGAAGCCAUUUGGCCAAUCAGCAAUGGCCUCCUUUUAGCAUCCCUUCUGGCAAUGAUUUCAAGCUCGACAAUAAGGAUAACAAGCUUAGUGAUGUGAAGUACGACUCUAGUAUACUGUAGUCAACAACCGAUCAAGUAGCGUCCUAAGGUGUUAGAUUCCCAGAGCAUUGACAUGCUCAAGCCCUUGAGAGAAGCAUCAACUUUGGACAAGGUCAAGUGCUAAAAAUUGCAUGCUGUCUUCAUCCUUGUUCUCUCACAAAAGAAUCUACCUGCAACAAAAAAAUUCUUGAAGUUUCCAUGUAUAAGAUGGAGACAAAUCUCCGACAUUAUUCAAUAUUGGAUAUCUAGACUCAUAAAAAUUGACAAUGACAAGUCAUGCCUACCAAAACUAAGAAUUGAGGUGUCAUAAAGAUCUAAAUCCCGAUCAAGACAUGUAAAAACUCAAUCGUCUUCAAACUGUGCACCUGUGUGAAGGAAUAUGCUUAUGUUAAGCCUCGAAUUGAGGCCAUACACGUGGCAUCAUCUCAGGAGCUCACCUAAAGAGCUAUUUGUGAUCAAAGAUGAAAUGAGGAAGUAAAGGGAAGGACACAUGGUAAAGAUGGGUAUGGAGGAUAAGCUUUUUGUGUGGAGGUGAAGCUGGGUAUUUACCUAUAAAAGGAUACAAGAAUGAACAGAGAAAGAACUAUUACUUUUUAAAUGGAACUAUGGAAGAGAGAGAACCUUUGGACCUCUAGAAACGACUUCUACUCUUCUGGGAACUUUAUUUCUUGGGAUUUUUGUAGAGCUCCUGUGUAGAAAGGGGAAAUAUGAGUUUGAGAAGGUUCCAUUCUGGGAAACAGAGAGUGAAUUAAGGAGAGAUCUCAAUUUCAGUCUGGGUUCUACUUUUUUUAGUGAAAUCUAAGGAGGGAGUUGUGAGGAGGUUGCAACUAUUACAACUGGAGAUUGCAAUAGAUUCCUUGGUUAUAAUUCUGCUCCUUAUGGUAAACCUCAAUCCGAGGCAAAAAAUCUUUUCAGGAAGAGAUGUUAUACAGAACUAAAUCAGCUCAAGACAAAUCAAAAGACAAGGAAAUCAGGGAGUACCAAAUCUUGGUGUUGUUGCAUGCUCUGCCAGAGAUACUACCCUUCAACCAUGUCUUGAAGUUUCUCCAACUUUUGAGUUUCUCCAUCAUGGCAAGAAUAGGAAGAAUGGUCCUACAAAUUCUUCUUGUUUGCUGCUCUUCCUAAACCAGAUUGCCUCUCAAUGAAAAUGAAGAAGAUACAAUCCUGUUAUCCAUGUGCUCCAGAACAUUUAGAUUCCCAAGACCUAAAGACUCGAGAGAAGAGAAUUGACUGGCUAUUAGAUGGAUUCAGUAAAAUUUGUUCCUUGCUCAAGUGGUAUGUUGUCGUUUUA
rnacentral:lncRNA from 1 species